rnacentral:lncRNA from 1 species
AUAGGAUUGGUGCUAGAAUUGUUAGACCUAGCUGUAAUUUGAGGUUUGAAACUUCAUUUCAAUUCUAUCAAACUAUAGCAGAUUCACCGUCACAACAACCUCCAUCACCAAUACCAUCAGCAUCACCUCAUUCCUCUGAUCAAGGUAAUUGUCCCAACAUUCUUGGUAUAUUUUUAUUUUCAAAUGAAAUUGAUUUUCUAGCAAAUUUAUUACUCUGUUUUAUUCUAAUAAAUUAUCCAUUAAAUGUAUCACUAGAUAUUGAUUGUGGUUUUUGCAGGUAAGAACAAUACGUCGUCAGGAACUGAAGUGGAUAUGAUCCCGUUGUUGUUGCUGCUGCUGUGCUCGUUGUUAUAUGUGCUUGUUUAAGAAUAUACUCACUCAAAUGUAGGGAAAAAAAAUAAAAAAACACACCAAUUAAAAAAAUGAAUUGAUUACAUUGAAGUCAUGUUAAAAAAUGUACAACUUUCCAAUUUUGCCUUUGUCAUGUUUUAGUAAUAAUUAAUGAUGGAGUGGGUUUAAGUAAUAAUUAUUGUGCACGUGUAUGAAAAGAAAGUGACUUUUGAACUCAUGGAGAUAGGGUAACGUGAAAGAGUAUGGGAGCAUGCAACUUUGAAUUAUGAGAAUGUGAUUUUUAACAAGGGUAAAAUUGGAAUAGUAGCAUUUAUUAGGUUAUUUUUACUAUACUUUUUCUUACAUUUGAGACCACAAUAUUUUUUGUUUUUUUUCCUACAUUUGAGACCGGAGGGAGUACAAUGUAAUUGUGUAAUCAAAUAAAUUUUUUCAAGUAGACUUGGAUAUCUUUAACGAUAAAAAUUAUUUAUAAUAAAAACUAUUACUAUUAAUCAUAUGUGACAAGCUCCCUCAAUGCUUAUAUUAAUAAAAUAAAAAAAUGAAGAAAUGACUAACUUGUACACUAUUAAAUUGAUAAAGAAUUUGAAUGGAACAAAAAAAUAAUAUAAAAGACUCAAAUGUUACAAAUAAAUAAGAUAAAUGAUUUGAACAAGACAAAAAAAUAAAUAAAGAACUUAAUUGACUAUUAUAGAUAAAUAAGAUAAAGAAUCCAUAAAAUAAUGACCAAAGAUUGAUAGACACUAUCAACAAGCACAGUUGCACCAUCAAACUUUUGGUGGAAGAAUAUCCAACAAUGUCUCCAUUGUGACGCUCAAAAUACACAUCUAUUGGUCAUCUGUUUGAACAUUGGUGAGGUAAGUUAUCCAUAAUGGGAAGAACCGAAAAAUUAUUACCCUAAGCUAGUGGCCAAGAAAAUGGAUUUUUGAUGUGGAUCACUUUCAAGUGGUGCAUUGGCAAUCAAUUACUAAGGAUUAUUAAAAGACAACUUGUGAUGGAACAAAUUCAUUUUUAUUCUCUUCAAAAUUUGUUUUUUAAGGGUGGUUUUAUGGUGCCAUAAACCGCUUUAUUUUUUUAUUAAGUGAUUGUUUAUACGUUUAAUUUUAUUUUUUAUCACCUAAAUCUUAUAUGUAUGUCAGACAUAGGCCAACUUAGUGUCGUCAUCAUCAUUCACAUCUUCUAUGUUCGUGAUUAUGAUGAGUUCUUAUCUUCUCCAGUUGUUACGGUCACGCCAUCGCUUUGAUCAGCCUGCACAUAUUUUUUGUGUGUCAGCAUAUAUGUUUGAGUUCAAAGCUUUUUCUCAUAAUGUUAUGCAUAAGAAAAUCAAUCUAAGGGUAAUGUUAUUUGUUCAUAAAGACAAGUAUGGUCUACUUGAUGGAUGUUAACCAUGUGGUACGUAUUUGCAUAUGAACAUGAUGUUGGUUCAAUCUUUUUCAUCAGACUAAGUGAAACGGGACAACUUGAGUUGUCAAUCUCAAAACUUCAUUUUAAAUUACGGUUAAAUACGACACGUUAAUAGGCUCGAUCCGUCUGUUUUAUCAUCCUUCUGCUAAACUCAAUUUAUGUUGGUUAUGAUUCACUCGCACUCUUAUUAAUUGGAUUAACUUUUUUUACCACUAAUAAUAAUUCAAUCCAGCUUGCAAAGUCCGUGUCAAUUUCCCAACCUAAAAGAAACAAGAUUCAUGAUCUGAUUUUCGCAAUGGACUCAUUGGUUUAAACUGGUCCUUUAAGUUAGAAAAUGAUUUAGGAGGGUGUAUUGGAUCAUGAUUCUAAGAAAUUUUAAAAGAUUUUUUUAUCAUGAAAAAGUCUUGUGGUAUUCAAUCAAGACUCUUUUCAAUUUAAAAAAAAAAAUCUUGUGUUAUUCAAUCAAGACUCUUUUCAAUUUAAAAAAAAAAAGUCUUGUGUUAUUCAAUCAAGACUCUUUUCAAUUUAAAAAAAAGUCUUGUGUUAUUCAAUCAAGAUUAUAUGUCAUUUAAAAAAAGUCAUGUGGUAUUCAAUCAAGACUCUUAAUCACUUAAAAAAAGUCUAGUGAUAUUCAAAAUCAUUCAAAAUUAAAAGGAUUGUUUAAUAAAUCAGAUUUUGAUGGAUUUUGUGGGAUUUUCUAGUGAAAUUUUAACAUGAAAAAGUUUUUCAUGAAAACAUGAGAUUUCUUAAGAUUGUUUUUUUCUUUUAAGAUUUUACUACCUCUCCCUCUCUCUCCUCCCUUCUCUUUUUUCCUCCUCCUCCUCCUCCUCCUCCUCUCUCUCUCUCUCUCUCUCUCUCUCUCUCUCUCUCUUUGAUUCCUUCUCUCUCUCUCUCUCCAGCUCUAACUCUCCCGUAAAAAAUAAAAUAAAAUAAAAUAAAUAAAAAAGUAUUUAUUGAGAUUUUGUGAAAGAGAGUGUGUUAUGAUAUUUUUUUCAAUUAUUUCUUAAAAUUCAUAAAAUUUCUUGAAAUCCUUAAAAUCAUUUCAAAUCCUUUAAAAUCUUAUGAAUUAAAUCCAUUGAAAUCCUUAAUAGUCUUUUAAAAUCAUCAAAGUCAUCAAAACCCUGCAAAGUCUUUUAAAAUCCUCAAGACUUUUUUAAACAAAAAAUUAUCUUUUAAAAUCCUAAUCCAAUACACCCCCUAAUUUAAAAAACUAAUUUGUAACAAAACACUUAAAGGACUAAUUUAAAACAAUAGGUAACAAAAAAUAUUAAGGGACUAGUUUGUAAUAAAUAUCCAACUUAAAGGAUAACAGAAGGUAUUUGACAUUAAAAUGUUAUAAACAAAAAUUGCAAAUUAUAUUAAACAAGGCCAAGAAAGGACACUUCAUCUUUGCCUGUAACAGUCCAUUCAUAUGUCAAAACAUUCGAUCAUCCGACUAACUGUUUCCUUAAGUACAAUCAAUAUGUCUACUCUCUCUUUAAGCCCACUUCUCUUUUUCUUUCUCGUAAUUAUCCUUUUCACAUCUAAAGCUCAAGCAUACAAAAACUACCGAAAAUUCCACUACUUUUGCGACCAACGUAACGAUAGAGGUGACUACAUAACCGGUAGUACCUACCACAACAACCUCAAAAUCGCUUUUAUCUACCUCACUUUCAACUCAAAAAUUGACUACGGUUUCUACAACACCAACUAUGGCCAAAACAAUGACAAAGUAAACGUCAUUGGAAUAUGUAGAGGAGACAUUAAUCCUCAAGACUGUCGCAAAUGCCUAAUAGGUUCCAGAUUCAAUCUCACACAAGCAUGUCCAAACAAAAAAGAAGCAAUUGGAUGGUACGAGGAUGAGAAAUGCAUGUUACGUUAUUCAGACCGUUCUAUAUUAGGCCUAAACGAAAUUGGGCCAGCUUAUACUAUGUGGAACUCGAACAACGCAACAAUGGCAGAUCAACUUAGUAUCUUAGUAACACAACUAUUAAAUGAUUUAAGAAGCAAGGCUAUAAAUGGUGACUCACAUAGUAAGUAUGUUGUUGGAACAUCGCCGGGUCCUAGUAAUAAUCAAUCACCUUCUCAACAAAGUAGUGGUGAAACAAUAUAUGGUCUUGUUCAGUGUACACCUGACUUGUCUGGUCCACAAUGUGAUGAUUGUUUGCUUCAAUCUAUUGCUGGAAUUUCAAGAUUUAGCAAUAGGAGUAGUGCUAGAAUGAUUAGACCAAGCUGUUAUUUGAGGUUUGCAACUUCAUAUCAAUUCUAUCAACCCAAACCAAAACUGGCUUCCCAACUCCCAUGAUCAACAACACUUUUCUCGAAGGUAAUUGUAAGGUGAGAGGAUCUCUCUUCAUAAACUUUUUUUCAGCUUUAUCUCUUUUGAAUAUGCAUGUGAUUUAAGUUAUUUCCAAUACACUUUUUAAUGCCAUGAUUUUUGGGUUUGGUCGGUCAUCCGGUAAUUUGGUGGGUGAUUCAAAUGAAUGAAUUUGGAUAAUAUAUUAUGUUUUUAUAUUUGGUUCAAGUCCUAUUCUUAGUAAGCAGAUUUGUAAAAUAUAAACGCCACUCUUUACUAAUUUUCCAUUUAAUUAAAUAUCUCACCGAUAUGAUUAGUUCUAUUCUUUUUUAUGCAGAUAAAAUAAACACAUUGAGAACUAUUGUUGAUACAGUUCUGUUGUUGCCGCUGAUUUUGUCAUUGCUUCUUUUAUAUAACUAGUAUGUGAACUCGUGCCAAGCACGGGCAAGAAUUUCUCCAUACUCGAAGGCGAAAUAUAUUGUGAUUUAUCAAGUGUCAGUUACGGUCUAACAUUGAAUAUAAGAGUUGAAGUUGAACAACAAAUAGGUGAAAAAACUCUUGCAUUUGUGUGGUUGCUCUUUGUACAAUGAGUUGACCCACACCAAUAUUGACGAUCACUUAGAAAGUCCUACGUUUGUAUCGUAACCCGUUUCAACUUUGUGGAGAAGUGACAUUGGUUAAUGAUGGUAUAUCACAGAUGCGGAGAGUCUCGUAUUUAAGGAAUAGAUGUUAAUGUGUCAAGUGUGAGUUAAAGUUUCACAUUGGCUGCAAGAGUAAUUGUUUAACAACAUAUAAGUGAUAUGACUCAUAUACAUAAUGCCUUAAGGUUUAGGGUGAAGAUGUAGUCUCAAUCUCACUUGUGUGGUAUAUGUUAGUAUAAUGUGAUGAUCAAAAUCAAUGUAGGAUUCACCAGAAGUCACAACAUUAUGAUGAACUGUUUUUUUAGUUUUUGGAUGUCAUUUGUUUGAUUUUAAUCUUAAAAUUUAGUCUUUAAAUGUCAUUAAUUAUCUUUUCUGCGAAUUUUUUCAUUCAACCUUUAUUAUUUCAAAUUCCUUUACAUUAUAUUUUGUGUUUGCUUUAGCGUAUUUGUAAUAAGUACAACUGCGUCAUUAAGAGAGUGUUGUAUAUGGUGCAACAAGUUUAUACUUGAGUGGGUAACAACAUCCAUUUUUAUUUGGUUCUUAAAUGGGUCUCACGUGUACACAUCAUUUGUUUAUAAUUUUUUAAUAAUAGUAUUUAAUAAACACUCAAUCACUCCAACUCAAAUCUCACACAAAGUUCUUAAAUGGAACCUAUUAAUCAACUAUCAAUAAUUUUAUAUCAUUAUAUUUCAAUUUUUUAAUAUUAAUAGAGUGUGAGUCCCGCUUAAAAGUGGGGGUCUUAAGUAAGACCCCGGGUCUUAUAAGACCCUGAAAAAGAUUUUCCCCAUUGGGGGUUCUUAAUAGGUACUGGGUCUUAAAUAGUUAAGACUCUCCCAAUGGAGAUGGUCUAAUAAUUUGAUGAGGUAUUUUCUCACUUAUAUAGUCAACUACAAACCAAGUAAAUUAACUAUUGUUCCUUCCUGGUUGGGUAUAACUAUCAUUGUUCCAUCAGAUAUUGGUUGUCACGCACAACAACUUUUUGGCGCGCAUGCUUUCAGGAAGGGCAUUCGCUCUUGUUUUCAGGUGGUGUGACUGACAUGUCUUUGGGUCAUUUGAAUGAGAUAAACUCUAGAAUUUUCAACAACAUCUCUUCUAAAGAUCAACUUGUCGAUAGUAUUAAGCUUCAUUCUUGGUGGUGGCUAAAGACACAUAAACUGGAUUUUGUUUUUUAUUUUCAUUAUUGACGGUAUAUGCCGUCUCUUUGUAUAUGUUAAACCAUUUUGUAAUUAUAGGAGGGUGUAUUGGAUUAAGAUUUUAAAAGACUUUUAUUAUAAAAAAAAAAAUAAAAAAAAAAAGUCUUGUGAUAUUCAAUCAAGACUUUUUGCAAGUUAAAAAAAGUCUUGUGGUAUUCAAUCAAGACUCUUUGUCAUUUAAAAAAGUCUUGUGGUAUUCAAAAUUAUUCAAACUUCUAAAGAUUGUUUAAUAAAUUGGAUUUUGUGAGAUUUUCUAGUUAAAUUUUAGCAUGAAAAAAUCUCACAUAAAUAAGAGUCCGUAUUGAGAAUAUUGUGAAAAAAAGUGUUAUAAUCAUUUCUCUAACUUUCUCGUAAAAAUAAAUAAAUAAUUAAAAGAGUUUGUAUUGAAAAUAUUGUGAAAGAGAAUGUGUUUAUAAUCAUUUCUUCUCAAUGAAUCAUUAAAAUUCAUAAAAUCUUUUGAAAUCUUAUAAAAUCCAUAAAAUCAUUUCAAAUUCUUUAAAAUCUUAUGAUCUAAAUCCAUUGAAAUCCAUUAAAAGCAUGCAAAGUCUUUUAAAAUCCAUAAGACUUUUUUAAACAAAAAUUGUCCUUUAAAAUCCUGGUCCAAUACACCCCCCGUAGUUUCUGUCUUUACUGUGUUUGUUACUUUGACAGUACACAGUUUCCUUUUAGGAACAUCUUGUGCUUAACUCGUUUGGUUUUGAUAUAUUUUGCAUUUAGCUUCUUCAAAAAUAAAAAUUAACUUGAUUUUGAAUUUUAAGAUAGAUGAGUGGUAUGGCCUUAACUCGUUUGGUACUUUCAUUCUUUUUUUUCAACAUUUGUUUAAACCUCUUCAGAAGUAUUAAGAUUUUUAUGUCUCUCAUGGAAGUUUAUGAGACUUCCAGCUCCAAUUCCAACCCUUUGAUUCUUCAAACACAAUAUCUACUUGCUAUAUAUCAUCGUCUUGUCUUUAGGAUCGUACAACUUAUAAGCUUUAUAUUCAUCAUGCAUGCUAAGAUGAACACACGAUGUUUUUUUGCAUCUAGCUUCCUUUUUCUGAAACAUCUUAGACAUGAACAUAUGUCAAACAUCCAAAAUUUCUAAAAUGAUGUAUAAAGGGUUUCCAACCACUGCAUGCUUCUUUAGGUGUGAUGUCUUUAAAUGAGGCCUAUUUCCCCGCUUCUGGCCAAAACUUCUUUGGUAUACAUUUCUUUCUGAUAGCAUGCUUCUUACGAUAUUCAUUAGAGCCAUAUUCUUUCUUUCUAGCACUCCUCCUCCUCCUCCUUCUUUUUCUUUGAUUAUGGAUUAGUGAUGAGUAAACAACUUUGAGAAUCAAUUGUAUCUAAAUUUUUGUUGUUUGAAAUCUUUAUAAUACAUAUCUAUUACACCCAAUAUUCAAAUUACGUUUCUAGUAAAUUAAUAAGCCAAAGUCAAGUGACAAUUAAUGUGGAUUUGUGAAAUACUCAAGUGUUGUAGUCGAAACAAAGUCAUUUGUACUACAAACACAAUUAUUCAAAAUAUGUUGUAACACAAACCAAGCAUAUAUACUCAUUGUUGUCAAAAUCCCAACAUAAAUCCUAAAAUUCAGGAUUUUGCAACUGACCAUAGUAAAAUCCCAAAAUAGGCAAAUCCAUCGUUUUUUUUUUUAACAAGCCAAAAUGGAAUUAUAUACGAAAUAGGGUAGUCCCAAACGCACAAGGUGUGCCUUAGAGACGCAAAUCCAUCGGUUUUGAUUGCAAUUUUACGAUUUCUUAUAAACUAAGUCAUUUAUGACUAUAUACCAUUUAUAACAUAUAUUUAGUAUUAUUUUUUGUGGUAAAAUCCAUCGAUUUUUAUUUCGAUUUUGUGAUUUCUUAUAUCAAUUCUACAAAAGUAGUUGAGUAAAAUCCUUCGAUUUUGGUUGUGAUUUUACGAUUGUCGAUUUUGCUCUUCUCUUUCAACCUAAAGAAAAUCCCGAUUUUGACAACCAUAUACUCGAAGAAGGCUUUCUUCGAAAAUCAUAUAAAUGCAGUUCGAAGAAAGACGUCCCUGAAGACAAUUGCAAAUUCAAAGUGUUCCAAACAUCAAAAUAAUUACUACCAUGUAAUAUAAAGAUUGCAAGAGUUUAAAUGGGUGACUAUACUUGGGAAGUUAUCAACUAAAUAAGUUAAAGGAUCCAUGAAAUAAUUUUGCCAAAAUUUGUCUCACUUAUACAGAAUAAUAUAAAAUCGGUUAAAACAAGCACAGUUGCACCAUCAAACUUUUGGUAGAAGAAUAUCCACUAAUCUCAAUUGCGACAUUCAAAAUACACGGAAAGACACAACUAUUGGUCAUCUGUCUGAACAUUGGUGAGAUAAGCUAUCCAUUAACUUGAAAUCGAUAAUGGGAAGAGCCAAAAAAUUAUUACCCUAAGCUAGUGGCCAAGAAAAUGGAUUUUCGAGGUGGAUCACUUUCAUUUCAAGUGGUGCACAGGCAAUCAAUUAAGGAUAUUAAAGGACAACUUGUGAUGGAACAAAUUCAUUUUUAUUGAUCUCAUGAGAAUACAUUUCUGUGCACAUAAUCAUGAUUUUUAUUUUAUUGAAAGCAUGUAAAAUUAUUAUUGAAAAUGAUUUAUUUUGUUUUAUUUGAAAUAAAAUUGUUUUUUAAGGGUGGCUCUAUGGUGCCAUAACCGCUAUAUUUUUGUAUUAAGUGAUUGUUUUAUACCUUUAAUUUUAUUUUUUAUCACCAAAAUCUUAUUUGUGUGUGAGACAUUGAGAAGUGAGACAGACCAACAUAGUGUCGUAAUCAUCGUUCACGUCUUUUAUGUUCGUGAUUUUGACGAGUUCUUAUGUUCUCCGAUUGUUAUGGACACACCAUUGCUACAACCAGCCUAUACAUAUUUUUUAUGUAUAAGAAAAUUAAUCUAAGGGCGAUCUUAUUUGUUCAUAAAGACAAUUGAUCUAGUUGAUGGAUGUUAAUUCAUGUGGUACGUAUUUGCAUUGACCUGCAUAUAUAUGAGCAUGAUGUUGGUUCACUCUUUUUCAACAAACUAAGUGAAACGGGUCAACUUGAGUUGUCAAGCUCAAAACUUCACCUCGCUCCAUUUUAAAUUACAGUUAAAUACGGCAGGCUAAUAGGCUUAAUCCGUCUGUUUUAUCAUCCUUUCCGUUAAACUCAAUUUUCAUUGGUAAUGAUUCACACUAUUAUUAAUUGGAUUAACUUUUUUUUACCACUACUAACUCAAUCCAGCUUGAAAAGUCUUUGUCAUUUCCACAACCUAAAAGAAACAUGAUUUGCGAUCUGCUUUUCGCAAUAGAUUCGUUGAUUUAAAUUGGUCCUUUAUGUUAGAAAAUGACUAACUUAAGAAAGUAAUUUGUAACAAAGCACUACACUUAAAGGGCUACUUUGAAAAAAAUUGUAACAUAAAAAAUAUAUUAAAGGAUUAAUUUGUUAUAAACAUCCAACUUAAAGGACAGCGUGAGGUAUUUAACCUUUAAAUUAAAAUGUUAUAAAAAAAUUGCAAAUUAUAUUAAACAUGGCCAAGAAUAGAAACUUCAUCUUUGCCUAUAAAAGCUCAUUCAUAUGUCUAAACCUUCAAUCAUCCGACUAAUUGUUUCCUUAAGUACAAUCAAUAUGUCUAUUCUCUCUUUAAGCCCACUUUCCUUUCUCUUUCUCAUAAUUAUCCUUUUCACAUCUAAAGCCAAAGCAGACAACAACGACCAAAAAUUCCACUACUUUUGCGACCAAAAUAACGAUAGAGGUAACUACAUAACCGGUAGUGCCUACGACAACAACCUCAAAUUCGCUAUCAUGCACCUCACUUACAACUCAAAAAUUGACUACGGUUUCUACAACACCAACUAUGGCCAAAACAAUGACACAGUAAACGCCAUUGGAAUAUGUAGAGGAGACAUUAAUCCUCAAGAUUGUCGCAAAUGCCUAAUUGGUUCCAAAUUCAAUCUAACACAAGCAUGUCCAAACAAAAAAGAAGCAAUUGGAUGGUACGAGGAUGAGAAAUGUAUGUUACGUUAUUCAGACCGUUCAAUAAUGGGUCUAAACGAAAUUGGACCUGCUUAUUUUGCAUGGAACUUGAACAAUGCAACAAUGGCAGAUCAAUUUAAUAUCUUGGUAAAACAAUUGUUGAAUGAUUUAAGAAGCAAGGCUAUAAAUGGUGACUCACAUCGUAAGUAUGUUGUGGGAAAAAUGCCGGGUCCUAGUAGUGAUCAAACAAUAUAUGGUCUUGUUCAGUGUACUCCUGACUUGUCUGGUCCACAGUGUGAUGAUUGUUUGCUUCAAUCCAUUGCUGAAGUUUCAAGAUGUUGUAGCAAUAGGAUUGGUGCUAGAAUUAUUAGACCAAGCUGUAAUUUGAGGUUUGAAACUUCAUACCAAUUCUAUCAACCUAAAGCAAAACUGGCUUCGCAUCUCCCAUGAUCAUCAACACUUUUCUCGAAGGUGUAAUUGUAAGGUGAGAGUGUCUCUCUUCAUAAAAAAAAUUCAACUUUAUCUCUUUUGAGCCAAUAUACUCUCUCAUGCCCAUGAUUAUUGGAUUUCGUCUUUUGGUAAUUUCGUGGGUGAUUCAAAUGAAUAAAUUAUGAUAUUAUAUUAUGUUUUUAUAUUUGGUUUAAGUUAUUCUUAGUAAAUAGACUUCUAAAAUGACUAAUGUCAUUCUUUAUUAAUUCUGAGUUAAAAUUCAUUUUGAUAAUUCACAAUUUUUCUAUAGACUAAUUUUAGUCUUGACAAAAAUAAAACUCAAAGCGGAUCCUAACAUUUUCAUACAAGAGACAAAUUAGUUUUUAUGUUAUAGUGAAUUGUUGCUAGUAUAAAAUGACGGACUAUUUUUGAUUUUAGGUUUGUCAGAAACUAAAUUGGUUUGCACGAAAUUAUAAAGGACUAAAAUGAGUUUCACUCUAAUUGUUUUCAUCCGAUCUUUUUUAGAAUUCAAUGUGGGACUUGGAGUUUUUUCCAGUAGUUAGAUCCAUAAAAAAAAAAAAAAAAAAAAAAAUCAAGUUAAUUUUACUUGGUUUGUGAUUCACUGUGCUUUAUUAUCCUUAAUUUUCCAUUUAAUUAAACAUCUAACCGAUAUGAUUAGUUCUAUUUUUUUUUAUGCAGAUAAAAUAAACACAUCGAGAAUUAUUGUUGAUACAGUCGUGUUGUUGCUGCUGAUUUUGUCGUUGCGUCUUUUAACAAUUAUAUUUGUGUUU